GACGAACGCGGGCGGCGUGCUUAACACAUGCAAGUCGAACGGAAAGGCCCUGCUUUUGUGGGGUGCUCGAGUGGCGAACGGGUGAGUAACACGUGAGUAACCUGCCCUUGACUUUGGGAUAACUUCAGGAAACUGGGGCUAAUACCGGAUAGGAGCUCCUGCUGCAUGGUGGGGGUUGGAAAGUUUCGGCGGUUGGGGAUGGACUCGCGGCUUAUCAGCUUGUUGGUGGGGUAGUGGCUUACCAAGGCUUUGACGGGUAGCCGGCCUGAGAGGGUGACCGGCGACACGGGGAAAGAGAGAAGGCGGGGAGUGAUUCGGGAGGCAGCAGGGGGGAGGAGGGCAGAGGGGGCGGGAGUCGUACGCAGCAUCGGCGGGUGCGGGAUGAAGGGCGUCGGGUUGUAAAAAGGAGUCGCCGGCGACGAAGCGUGAGGGACGGUAAGGGGUAAAGAAGCAAGGGCGAAUCAAGUG
rnacentral:rRNA from 1 species